rnacentral:rRNA from 1 species
CUACGGGGGGCAGCAGUGAGGAAUAUUGGUCAAUGGGCGCGAGCCUGAACCAGCCAUCCCGCGUGCAGGAUGACGGCCCUAUGGGUUGUAAACUGCUUUUCUAUGCCAAGAAACCCUGUUACGAGUAACAGGUUGCCGGUAGCAUAGGAAUAAGCAUCGGCUAACUCCGUGCCAGCAGCCGCGGUAAUACGGAGGAUGCAAGCGUUAUCCGGAUUCAUUGGGUUUAAAGGGUGCGCAGGUGGGCUUGUAAGUCAGUGGUGAAAUGCUGCCGCUUAACGGUAGAACUGCCAUUGAUACUGCGAGUCUUGAGUAUGGUUGAGGUAGGCGGAAUGUGUUGUGUAGCGGUGAAAUGCAUAGAUAUGACACAGAACGCCAAUUGCGAAGGCAGCUUACUAAGCCAUUACUGACGCUGAGGCACGAAAGCGUGGGGAGCGAACAGGAUUAGAUACCCCCGUAGUC